CGGGGAGUAGCUCAGCCUGGUAGAGUGCCUGCUUUGGGAGCAGGAUGUCGCAGGGUCAAAUCCUGUCUACCCGA
rnacentral:tRNA from 1 species